GGCCCAGCCACACCACGAGGGAAGGGCUCUGCUCUGGCUUGUGUUUUCUGAGCUGGCUUCCUGUGCACAUAGUAGAAGUGGUGUUGCAUGAGUAUUUUUUCAGGUGGCGAUGCUGCCCAGCCUGGAUUAGCUUGUGAAGUCGCACGCCUUCCUGGAGGUGUCCGAUCAGACAGAGCGGAGCCAGCUCUGCCCUCCAGGUACUGCAGGAGCUCUCAUCUGCCAGCUUGGGCCACUCUGGAGGACUGCAGCAGCUCAGCCCCGUGUGACCGUGGCUGCUCUGCGCAGCGAUGCCGAGGGCUCUGCUUCCCCUCCCCAGACACUGGGCUCUGCUUCUGUGGAUCGAGAGCAUCCACUUCUGGGUUUCUGGUGUCUUCUACUUCCAAAUAGCUGUUCCACAUCCAGCUGCUACCCAUAGAAUCAUUAAGAUUGGAGAAGGCGUCUAAGGUCAGCUAGUUCAACUGCUGCCCAUAACCAUGACGCCUGCUAAACCACGUCCCAUCUUUCCUUACAGCCCGAAUCUCACUUGUUGAGUUCCAGCUUAUGCAGCCAGUGUUUCCAUGGCACCUUGGAUGCCACUGUCAGAACACAACACAGGUCUCUGGCUCUUACUGCGCUUUGCUCCUUACUUAUCCCAGUUUGCUUAGGCACGCGUACUCGAUGAGGAUGUUCAUGGCAUGGAUCUCAAUUGACCUGAGCUGGUUGUGUCCGUUUCUGAGAUUGGAAGAGCUGUCCUUCUCGUGCAGAGCUGGGAGCUCAUCACUCUGGCCGCUUUCCUCCUCUCCUUCGUGACAGAGCACUUCAAAGAUGCUCGACAUCCGCCUGGCUUGGCCUCUUUCCUCACAGAGCACAGUGCUGGGAGCAGAGCCCUGCAGCUAUCGGCGUGCGCUGAAUUGCCCUUU
rnacentral:lncRNA from 1 species